rnacentral:rRNA from 1 species
AGAGUUUGAUCAUGGCUCAGGACUAACGCUGGCGGCGUGUCUUAGACAUGCAAGUCGAACGGCAGCAGACUACCUUCGGGGUGGUGCUGGCGAGUGGCGAACGGGUGAGUAAUACAAAAGUAACUUGCCUCGGAGUGGAGCAUAACCCCGAGAAAUCGGGGCUAAUUCUCCAUACGCUGCGUGAACAUACGUUCACACAGGAAAGGCUUCGGUCGCUCUGAGAGAGGCUUUUGGCUUAUCAGCUUGUUGGUGGAGUAACGGUUCACCAAGGCAACGACGGGUAGGGGGUGUGAGAGCAUGACCCCCCACAUGGGAACUGAGACACGGUCCCAACUCCUACGGGAGGCAGCAGUCUAGAAAUUUGGGCAAUGGGCGAAAGCCUGACCCAGCGACGCCGCGUGAGGGAUGAAGUCCUUCGGGAUGUAAACCUCUGUUGAGGGGGACGAUAAUGACGGUACCCCUCGAGGAAGCCUCGGCUAACUCCGUGCCAGCAGCCGCGGUAAUACGGAGGAGGCAAGCGUUGUCCGGAAUCACUGGGCGUAAAGGGUGUGUAGGUGUCCUGAUGGGUCAGGUGUGAAAUCCAACAGCUUAACUGUUGAACUGCAUCUGAAACUAUCGGGAUCGAGGGCAUGAGGGGAGAGUGGAACUCGCGGUGUAGCGGUAGAAUGCGUGGAUAUCGCGAGGAAUGCCGAUGGCGAAGGCGGCUCUCUAGUAUGCUCCUCGUAUGAGGAGCCGGUUGAUUUUAAUCUUCGGGUUACGGUUAACCGGUCCUGACACUGAAACACGAAAGCUGGGGGAGCGAACGGGAUUAGAUACCCCGGUAGUCCCAGCCUUAAACGAUGUACACUUGGCAUACGCCAUCAGGUGUGUGCCGGAGGUAACCUGUUAAGUGUACCGCCUGGGGAGUACGCUCGCAAGGGUGAAACUCAAAUGAAUUGACGG